GAUGAACGCUGGCGGCAUGCCUAAUACAUGCAAGUCGAACGAGAUAUCUUCGGAUAUCUAGUGGCGAACGGGUGAGUAACACGUAGGUAACCUACCCAUGUACCUGGGAUAACUGCUGGAAACGGUAGCUAAAACCGGAUAUAUGUAUUUCUCGCAUGAGGAAUAUAUGAAAGCACCUUAUGGGUGUGGACAUGGAUGGACCUGCGGCGCAUUAGCUAGAUGGUGAGGUAACGGCUCACCAUGGCGAUGAUGCGUAGCCGACCUGAGAGGGCGAACGGCCACAUUGGAACUGAGACACGGUCCAAACUCCUACGGGAGGCAGCAGUAGGGAAUUUUCGGCAAUGGGGGAAACCCUGACCGAGCAACGCCGCGUGAGUGAAGACGGCCCUCGGGUUGUAAAGCUCUGUUGUAAAGGAAGAAUGGCAUGGAUAGAAUCCAUGAGUGACGGUACUUUAUCAGAAAGCCACGGCUAACUACGUGCCAG
rnacentral:rRNA from 1 species